rnacentral:rRNA from 1 species
CUUUGUGACUUAUACCUUACUGUUGCCUCGGCGUAUGCUGGCCCCUAGGGGUCCCUCUUGUCUCAAGAGGAGCAGGCACGCCGGCGGCCAAGUUAACUCUUGUUUUUACACUGAAACUCUGAGAAAAAAACAAAAAUGAAUCAAAACUUUCAACAACGGAUCUCUUGGUUCUGGCAUCGAUGAAGAACGCAGCGAAAUGCGAUAAGUAAUGUGAAUUGCAGAAUUCAGUGAAUCAUCGAAUCUUUGAACGCACAUUGCGCCCUCCGGUAUUCCGGAGGGCAUGCCUGUUCGAGCGUCAUUUCAACCCUCAAGCCUGGCUUGGUGUUGGGGCACUGCUUCUCUCGCGGGAAGCAGGCCCUCAAAUCUAGUGGCGAGCUCGCCAGGACCCCGAGCGUAGUAGUUAAACCCUCGCUUUGGAAGGCCCUGGCGGUGCCCUGCCGUUAAACCCCCAACUCUUUGAAAAUUUGACCUCGGAUCAGGUAGGAAUACCCGCUGAACUUAAG